AAUAUCCCAUUGUUUUGUAUUGCUUUGGCCUUUUCUCCAUUGUUUCCUUCCGUGCAACUCAUUCGUGCAAACCUUUGUUCAUGUGGUUAUGGAUAUGGAUUUGACAUGUUCUUCAUCCCAAACUCAUUUCAUUUUAUUUAUUCUACUUUUUUUGGGCAAAUUAAACCAAUUCCGCAGGGUACCAUUCUGUCUUCCUUUGAAGCUCACCGAUCACAUUCUCUUCUGUUCCCAAGCUACUUCAAGCAGCCUCCAUAUCCGGAUGAAAACAUAGAAAAGAGUGCAGGCUAUGAGCUGGGUUAGAAGAUGGUGCAGUUCUUAAUUGGCUCAUCAUAUUACCCUGUUGCAUGUUGUUUCUUUGAAGACUUCUGUUAAUUGUAGACCGGUGUUCUACAUAGAGUUUAUGAUGUGGUUAAUUUGAAAAGGUGAGUUUGAACCGACGGUGGCUACUGUCAUGAAAGUAAAGCAAAUGAAUGCUUCUAAGGUAAACAUUAACUUGCCACUGC